rnacentral:rRNA from 1 species
UACGUAGGUGGCAAGCGUUGUCCGGAUUUACUGGGCGUAAAGCGCGUGCAGGCGGUUCGUUAAGUUCAAGGUGAAAGCUCCCGGCUCAACUGGGAGAGGUCCUUGGAUACUGGCGGACUUGAGGGGGGUAGAGGAGAGUGGAAUUCCCGGUGUAGUGGUGAUAUGCGUAGAUAUCGGGAGGAACACCAGUGGCGAAGGCGGCUCUCUGGGCCCUACCUGACGCUGAGACGCGAAAGCGUGGGGAGCGAACCGG